CCUACGGGAGGCAGCAGUGGGGAAUUUUGGACAAUGGGCGAAAGCCUGAUCCAGCAAUGCCGCGUGAGUGAAGAAGGCCUUCGGGUUGUAAAGCUCUUUUGUCAGGGAAGAAACGGUGAGAGCUAAUAUCUCUUGCUAAUGACGGUACCUGAAGAAUAAGCACCGGCUAACUACGUGCCAGCAGCCGCGGUAAUACGUAGGGUGCAAGCGUUAAUCGGAAUUACUGGGCGUAAAGCGUGCGCAGGCGGUUUUGUAAGUCUGAUGUGAAAUCCCCGGGCUCAACCUGGGAAUUGCAUUGGAGACUGCAAGGCUAGAAUCUGGCAGAGGGGGGUAGAAUUCCACGUGCAGCAGUGAAAUGCGUAGAUAUGUGGAGGAACACCGAUGGCGAAGGCAGCCCCCUGGGGUCAAGAUUGACGCUCAUGCACGAAAGCGUGGGGGAGCAAACAGGAUUAGAUACCCUGGUAGUCCACGCCCUAAACGAUGUCUACUAGUUGUCGGGUCUUAAUUGACUUGGUAACGCAGCUAACGCGUGAAGUGACCGCCUGGGGGAGGACGGUCGCGAGAGUUAAACGUUAAACGUAAGUUAGUACGGCGUGAGACGUUAGCCGACGGACGACGACGAGGGGAGGAGGG
rnacentral:rRNA from 1 species